CUCUCCUCUGCUCUUUCCACGUGACAUUCCACUAGUGACUCAGGUCAUCACCAGGAGGAUGGAGGACCAUGGCAGUCCUUCGUUACUGAUGUUCUCUGAGUCGCUCCCUGCCUCCCGGGACCCCACAAAGCAAAGUCCCAGCUCAUGUUCCCUCCACUCCUUAUGGAAACUCCCCCACUAAGCUCGCUGCAGUCUGUUGUCUUUACAGAGGAUCAAUAAAAGCAGGGCUCCACUGAGUGGUGUUCCUAUCUCCUCUGUGGAACUUUAGUUAGCACUGUUUUGUACACUCACUUCCCUGGAAUGUAAUUUAAAUUUUUUUUUUUUUUUGGUAGUGCAUGCAGCAUGUGGAAGUUCUCAGGCCAGGGACUGAACCUGAGCCACAGCAGUGACACCACCAGAUCCUUAACACACUGAACCACCAGGAAACUCCCCUGGGAGGUGACUUUAAUACCAUCCCUUCAGUCUACAAAUGACUAGAGGAAGUUUCUCCGUGUUCUUCUAUGUCCUUAUCCAAGGACCUAUAUGGAGCCCAGAGGCCCUGAAAAAGAUUUUCACAACAGUAUCAUCCCUUUGAAAAAAAGAAACUUCGAUGUUGAGAGUAGUUUGAUUCUCACCACUUGCAAGGAAGAUGGGGAAGAAGCAGAGGCACCUCAAGACAUCAGAGCCUGUCCCAGUCCCGCAGCUACUGGUCACCAUCCCGGAUUCUGCAGGUGACCUGGUUAUUGCAAUCUUCAGGUGACCCUGUGGCCCCUUGUCCCUUGCUCCUGAAACUCCUAAAGCGAAGACCUAAAUCCAGAGAUACUUACAUUCUUUACUGAGUUGAGAAGAGAGGAUUUGGAAUACAAGUUCGUAAAUCUUCCAGAGCUGUAUGUUUCAGCCCCAAAUGCCUCUUUGAAUGUGCAUAUUUGCUAAUUAAAAG
rnacentral:lncRNA from 9 species